UGCGAUCAAUUUUAUUCGUAAUCACCGUAAGCUUAAUUAUUUGACGUGGCUAAUUUUGUCUGCACCUUAAGUUUGACUUUAUUUAUUAAGCUCAUCUUAGCUCAAAUAUAUAUAUUUUUUUCAUCCUCAUCUAUCUUUCUCUUUUUCCUUUAAGGAUUCUUUUUUUUUUUAAUCAUUCAAGUUUGACAUUUUUUUUCUUUUUCAAUCAUCUUUUUUUUAUUUUUUUGACUGACUCUUUUUAAAGAGAACCUUGGCUCUAAUAGUCUGUUAGAAAUCUUGUAAUAACUAAUCCAAGUCAUUCUGAUCAAGAUAAACAUAUAUCUUUUAGGAUAUCUCACUUUAUCUCAUAUACAUGAAUAUUUUUAAUAUCUUUUCCUGUUCUUGUAUGGGUUUAGGAUCUUUU
rnacentral:lncRNA from 1 species